UUGUCGUUGUGGGGGAUUGUUUGUUUGUUUGUUUUUAUUUUGGUUUUUUUUCUGUAUUAAAAAUCUGGCUCAGUUACUCUCUAGUUCUGGUGUGUUCUCUUUUCCAGGUGGUUGGUGUUUCUGCAGUGUUUGGCACAGGACUGGGGGAGAUUUUUACCCAGCUUUCUAAAGCUGUAGAUGAAUAGGAGAGACUGAAUGCACUCCCUUUAUUCACCUUUUCAGAGAGUAUCGGCCAGAAUACGAGCGCCCGAGAAAAACACUGAAUCCACAUGUAAAUCUUUGUCUACGGGAGAAAGCUCAAAAUAAACAAAAGAGAGAGCAGCUGGAACACUUGUGGAAGGACAUGGGCAGCGUGUGUGUGCAGGGCAGCACACUGGCAGGACCUGGGUGAAAAGGACAUUCUCUGAGGUGCUGGGAGAAGGAGGACUCGUGCGGGCACCUCCAGAGACAGCGGGAACGGGAGCGUGCUGCGGAGAAGGAAAAUUCCAGGGGAAUUGCCACGAGAGGAAAUACUUUAGAGGGGCUUCCCUCCAGCUAAGCCCUGAAUAUGCCAGGAGGUUUCAGCCGGGAGGAAAGGAGCUGUGGAAGAAAAGCAGCCUAAAAAUAGCCAGCGGGGAUCAUCAGGUUUUCCAGCCAAGAAGAACAAGGAGAGAGAUGAGGGAAUCGGGUUCCAAUUCCUAAUGAUUUGGUGGGUGCAGGAAUGAUUUGUGUGUGUUUUCCAGUCCCUUUUGAUUCCUGAGAUGAUUUGAAAAUGAUGGCUUUAGCAAUCAACUAAAUCGGAGGUGUUGUUUUUGAGAGGAAAUGAUGCCAAAUAAAUGCAGAGUUUUGGGUCAGUUUUUGGGAUGAUUUGAGUCAGUUUUUGGGGUCAGUUUGGGGUCAUUGUUUGGGGUGAUUUGGGUCAGUUUUGGGUCAGCUUUUGGGGUGAUUGGGGUCAGUUUUGGGUCAGCUUUUGGGAUGAUUUGGGUCAGGUUUUGGGGUCAGUUUUGGGUCAGCUUUUGGGGUGAUUUGGGUCGGUUUGGGGUCAAUUUUUGGGGAGCACUGGGUGUUACUGGGGGUUGUUGGGGAGCACUGGGUGUUUACUGGGGAGCACUGGG